GAGGUGAUCGACGACGAUCACCGGACGAGCGGCACCGUACCCGGCCAGCGACAAGACGGAGCCAG
rnacentral:ncRNA from 1 species